UGAAAUUCUUAAGUAUCCUCCCAUACCUAUUCCCUGCCCAGAGAAACAGAUAAGUAGAUGGAUAUGUAAAAACUCUACGGGGACGGGGUGUGGGGGCACCUGGGUGGCUCAGUCCUUAAGCUUCUGCCUUGGCUCAGGUCAUAAUCCCAGGGUCCUGUUGUAGUCCCACAUCAGGCUCCCUGCUUGCAUCAGGCUCCCUGCUCUGCGGGAAGCCUGCUUCUCCCUUUUCCAUUCCCCUUGCUUGUAUUCCUCUCUCACUGUCUCUCUCUCUGUCAAAUAAACAAAUGAAAUCUCAAAAAAAAAAAAAAAAAAAAAAAACAAAACGUCCACGAAGAGUGGGGUCCAAGAAAUUUUGUUCUCAAAAAUGCAAGGUCAUGUUUUUUUCGAGGUUAAUCAAUGAACUGGAGCAGGCCCUUGAAGUUGUCUGGGAGUUCUGGGGGUCUGGAGCCAGUUGUUAAUUGCUUUAAUCUGAGUUGAUAUUAUCAUAUUUUUUACUGUAUGUAUUGCUUUUUUCUCCUUUUUUACGUAAAUGAUAACCCAUUAUAGGAAUUUAUCUGCCUUGUGUUAUUCCUGCCUCACAUCCCCUCUCUGUGCACUUAUUAAUAUAUUUUUGACAUAGUUUCCUGUCAGUUUGUAAAGCAGUUCCUCAUUCUUUUUGUGGCUGCAUAAUGCCUGAAUGAAUCAUAAUUUAUUUAACCAGUCCCCAAGUUUUGCUGGUACAAGUGAUAAUGCAGUGAAUAAUCUUGAAUAUAAGCCAUUUUGCUUGUGUAUGAAUGUUUUUGUAAGAAAAAUUCCUAGAAUCGAUAGGUCAAAGAUAUGUGUACUUGUAGCUUUGAAAGAUAUUCCCAAAUUGCUCUUGUUGUAGGUUGUAACUAUGUUUCGCCAACAAUGUAUGAGAGUGCAUAGGGAAUUAUCAUAGGGAAUUAUCUCUCUACACAUAGGGAAUUAUCAAGAAUUUUUGAAUAUGAAAAUCUAAUUGAUAAAAAUAGACUUAGUUUAAUUUUUCAUUUCUCUUACAUUGACUAUCUUACAGAGCCAUUUAAAUGUAUCCUUUUCGGGCGCCUGGGUGGCUCAGUGGGUUAAGCCGCUGCCUUCGGCUCAGGUCAUGAUCUCAGGGUCCUGGGAUCGAGUCCCGCAUCGGGCUCUCUGCUCAGCAGGGAGCCUGUUUCCUCCUCUCUCUCUCUGCCUGCCUCUCUGCCUACUUGUGAUCUCUCUCUGUCAAAUAAAUAAAUAAAAUCUUAAAAAUAAAUAAAUAAAUAAAUGUAUCCUUUUCUGUGGAUUAUAUAUAUCUUCUGCCCAUUUUUAUUGGGUUGUUGAAUCUUUUUCCUAGUGAUGUGUAGGAACUCCUUAUUAAAUAAGGAGGCUUUUAUCUGUGAUGAAUUGCCAGUAUUUUCAUUUGUCUUUUCUUUCCCUCUCUAUAAGAAAAUUAUUUUCAUGCAGUUGAAUGUAUCCUCCUUGUCUUCUAUGGCUUUUUGUUUUUAUGUUAAAGUUAGUAUGGCCCAUCCUCUUCUGAGGUUAUAAAAUAAUUCUUCAUGGUUUAUGAAGUACUUCUUUGUUUUCAUUUUUUACACUUAAAUCUUUGAUACAUUUGGAAUUCAUCCUGCUAUAAGGUAUGAGAUAUAGAUACAAUUUCAUUUAAAAAAAAAAAUGGCUUUCCAGUUGUCCUAACACCAUUUAUUGAGUAACCCAUCUUUUGUCCACUGGUUUAAGAUGACUUCUCUAUCCUUUGCUAGUGAUACCUGGGUGGCUCAGUGGGUUAAUCCUCUGCCUUUGGCUUGGGUCAUGAUCUCAGGGUCCUGGGAUCAAGUCCCGCAUCAGGCUCUCUCUGCUCAGUGGGAAGCCUGCUUUCCCCCUUCUCUCUCUCUGCCUGCCUCUGCCUACUUGUGAUCUCUUUCUGUCAAAUGAAUUAAAAAAAAAAAAAAAAGUCUAUCCUUUGAUAGACUACCAUUUGUAUUUUAGUUUCUUUCAAGAUUUUCUACUCUAUUGGUCUGUCUGUACUGAUGUGUCAGUAUCACACUGUUUUAUUACUAGGCUUUUAUAAUAUGAAAGUAUUAUUUGUUAAUGAGUAUAAUUUAACAUAACUUAUUUAAUCAUUAUCCUAUUUUAGAUGUUAACAUUUUCCCAGAUUUUAUAGUCUACUCAUUGUCUUUGUGUACAAGUCUUUAAAUUGAAUUUCUGACUGUUUCCUUAGGCUGAAUUCCUAGAAGGGUAUGUUUUUAAAGGCCCGAGACUUAGUGCCAAAUUGGUGUGACCUUCCUGGAAAGCAAUUCCUACCACUAAUAUAUGAAAUUAUGGCUUAUAAUUUAUUUAUUUUAUUUAAUUUUAAUUUUUAAAAAAUAUUUUAUUUAUUUAUUUGACAGAGAGUCUUCACAAGUAGAUGGAGAGGCAGGCAGAGAGAGAGAGAGGGAAGCAGGCUCCCUGCUGAGCAGAGAGCCCGAUGCGGGACUUUAUCCCAGGACCCUGAGAUCAUGACCUGAGCCGAAGGCAGCGGCUUAACCCACUGAGCCACCCAGGCACCCCUAUGGCUUAUAAUUUAAAUUCUACUUCUGUAUUGCUACUUUUAACAUAUUGAAGUAUGUUUACAUAGAUGUCAUGUAGUGCCUCAAGCAUUGUUUUAGCAUGUAUUAAAAGCCCUCAGAAUUCUAAUGGUAAUAAUACUGCUUCAAAAAAUGGAGUUUUUUCCCCAGUGGUAUUCCUUUUCAUUAAUGCUAUAUUUCCAAAUGAAGGAGGGAAGAGCAUGAGUAUAGAGUCAGAGCAGUUGGUCUGCUAAGGGUCAAAUCCAUGAUCGGGGCUUUAUAUAUACUAUGUUAGGCUCCAACUGAAAUAACCUGACAUAGACACAUAAUGGUUCAAAUACUCUAAGAACAUAGUUGCUGGCUUUCAUCUCAGCUGUUGAUGUCCUCCUUCUUUUCUUUGUUUCUCAGAGUGUUAAGAAGGAAGUGACAUUCAUGAAAAUUCUUUUGAACAUGGUUUGAAUAUAUUAUUUCACUUAGUUUUAGCUGGAUGAAUGACUAAGGUAUAUGUCUUACAUAGUACUGAGUUAAGGACUGACGUUUUAGCAUGGGUUUAAUAUAGGUAUAUUCUAGGGAGGUUUAUUAUGUCAAAGCCUAAUUCAAGGAAUGGCAACAAGAACUAACAUUAACGAUAAAAUUAACUGAAAAAAAAAAAAGGUUGGAAAAUGGAGUAGACUCUGGAAAAUCAUAGUUUAUAUAGACCAUUAAUUAACCAAUUAACCAAAGUUUUUUUUUUUUUAAGGACUUUUUUUUGAGCAGAUUUAGAUUCUUAGCAGAAUUGAGAGGACAGUAUGGAGAUUUACCUUACAUUCCUUGUCUCGACAUAACCUCCCCAAAUAUCAACAUCUCUGACCAGAGUGGCACAUUUGUUACAGUUGAUGAGCCCAUAUUAAUACAUCAUUAUCACACAAAGUCUAUAGUUCAUAUUAGUGAACUUGGUGUAUAUAUUCUGUGGAUUUGGACAAAUGAGUGGCAUGUAUCCACUCUUUUAGUAUCAUACAGAAUCAGUCUACCUUCCUUUCUUCCUCCCUUUCUUUCCUUUCCCUUCCUUCCUUCCUUUCUUUUGCUUUUAUUUUUUAAGUGAUCUCUAUACCAACAUGGGGCUCAAGCUCACAACCCUGAGAUCAAGAGUUGCAUGCUCCAUCUGCUGAGUUGCCAGGUGCCCCCCUACAGAAUCUUCACUGCUCUUUAUCCUCUGUGCUCUGUUUAGUCAUCUCUCCAUAUCCCUACCCCCUACCCCAUGGCAACCACUGAUAUUUUUACUGUCGCCAUAGUUUUGCCUUUUCCAGAAUUCUUUUUUUUUUUUAAUUAAAGGUUUUAUUUAUUUAUUUGAUGGAGAGAGACACAGUGAGAGAGGGAAUACAAGCAGAGAAGUGGGAGAGGGAGAAGCAGGCUUCCCGCAGAGCAGGGAGCCCGACAGGAUCCUGGGAUCAUGACCUGAGCCAAAGGCAGAGGCUUUAACCCACUGAGCCACCCAGGCGCCCCAUACAAUUUUUUUUAAAGACUUUAUUUAUUUAUUUGACAGAGAGAGAGAGAGAGAUCCCAAGUAGGUAGAGAGGCAGAGAGGGAGGAGAAGCAGGCUCCACGCCUAGCAGAGAGCCCAGUACAGGGCUUGGGGCUAGAUCCCAAGACCCAGAGAACUGUGACGGGAGUCGAAGGCAGAGGCUUAACCCACUGAGUCUUUAUAUUUGUAAAUUUCAGGAAUGCUUCUGAAUGAGAAAACCCAAGACCUUUCAAAUGCAUGUUCCUAUUUUAGAAUGUGCUAGUUUUGCCCAGGUGGUUGGUGAUUGAUUAGGUUGUAGCAACAAACAGACCUUGAAAAAGAUGGCCAAGACAAUUGCUACUAAUAAAAGACAUGUUUUGAUAUCUAAGAAAAGACUCUAUAGUAUUUUCUGGCUUCAUAAAAACUUAAUGGUUUUCAAAAGAAAAAAACCAAAAAACCAUGGUUUUCCUUUUUAUAGAAAUGAAGAUUUAUAUGCCUACUUUUUAAAUCUACCUUGAUAACACAGUUAAGAAAGAACAGCAUCGGGGCACCUGGGUGGCUCAGUGGGUUAAGCCUCUGCCUUUGGCCCAGGUCAUGAUCCCAGGUUCCUGGGAUCGAGCCCCUCGUCGGGCUCUCUGCUCAUCGGGGAGCCUGCUUCCCUUCCUUUCUCUCUACCUGCCUCUCUGCCUACUUGUGAUUUCUGUCUGUCAAAUAAAUAAAUAAAAUCUUUAAAAGAAAGAAAGAAAGAACAGCAUCAUCUGUGGUGAUUCCUAUUAAAAUAGAAGGGUAAUACAGAAGAUUUGAUAGGGCCAUAUUUCUUGCUGCGUCCCAGAAGUCAGAAGUCUUAAGAGGAAAUUUUUUAUUUAGUUACUUAGUUACUUGCACUUUAGGUUGUGUUUUUGGUAUAGACCUUGAUAGGCCAGAGGGUCACCUUCAAGAGAUAUUACUAUGUUCUAUUUGUUGGCCAGUCAUCUUUCUUUUUCUGAAACUUAACUAACAGUGAUGUUUGUCUUAUAUAAAGUAAUGUUAUUCCAUUUACUUGUAAACAUAUUGUAUAAAAUUAUGUUUUUUUUUUAAAGAUUUUAUUUAUUUAUUUGACAGAGAUCAGAAGUAGGCAGAGAAGCAGGCAGAGAGAGAGAGAGAGGAGGAAGCAGGCUUCCUUCUGAGCAGAGAGCCUGAUGUGGGGCUCCAUCCCAGGACCCUAGGAUCAUGAUUUGAGCUGAAGGCAGAGGCUUUAACCCACUGAGCCACCCAGGCGCCCCUAAAAUUGUUUUCAUAAAAUUCUUUUCCCCUGCAAUCCCAAAUGCCCUGCUUUUUUCUCUUUCAACAAAUUUAUGAAAGAUGGUUAAGUCUUUAUUUUGGGGGGGAGGUAAUCAUGAAAAAAUUAAUGCUUUAAAGAUUUUUUUUUUUUUAAGAUUUUAUUUAUAUAUUUGACAGACAUAGAUCUCAAGUAGGUAGAGAGGCAGGCAGAGUGAGAGAGAGGAGGAAGCAGGCUCCCCACUGAGCAGAGAGAGCCUGUGGAGCUCGAUCCCAGAACGACGUGACCUGAGGAGAAGGCAGAGGCUUUAACCCAUUGAGUCACCCAGGUGCCCCUGCUUUAAAGAUUCUUGGUGAAGUAAGAUUAGAAUCUGGGUAAGGCCAGAAUCUGAAUUCCAAUCCAAUAACUUUUUUUUUUUUUUGAAAGAUUACUUUAUCUUUAUUAUCUAAGUUCAUAGUUACUGUUUCCAAUUUAAUAUAUUUGUGUUAAAAUGUAUCACAAGUUGUUUAAAGUAGCAUUUUAAUUCUUUUCUAAGUUGUUUUAGAAUUUAACAGUAGGUCUUAUGCUUCUCUGCCUCUUUCAGAGUUACGUAGUUAAGAAUGGAUAUCGAGGGGCGCAUGGAUGACUCAGUGGGUUAAGGCCUCUGCCUUCGGCUGAGGUAAUGAUCACAGGGUGCUGGGAUUGAGCCCCGCGUCUGGCUUUCUGCUUGGCAGGGAGCCUGCUUCCCUUCCUCUCUCUCUCUGCCUGCCUCUCUGCCUACUUGUGAUCUCUGUCUGUCAAAUGAAUAAAUGAAAUCUUUUUUUUUUUUUUAAUUUAAAGAUUAAAAAAAAAAAGAAAGAGAGGAGGAAGCAGGCUCCCCGAUGAGCAGAGAGCCCGAUGCGGGACUCGAUCCCAGGAUCCUGAGAUCAUGACCUGAGCCGAAGGCAGUGGCUUAACCCACUGAGCCACCCAGGCGCCCCGAAUAAAUGAAAUCUUAAAAAAAGAAAAAAAAAAAAGAAUGGAUAUUGAGCUUUUCAUUGGUGAACUGCAGCAAUAAAAGUGAAAAUGCUCAGUAGGAUAACCAACAGAUUCUUUGUGUGUGUGUAUUAAAAUAUACGCACUAAAUUUCAUUUUAACAAUUCGUGAGUGUGCAGUUCAAAUACAGUCCUGGGGCAUCUGGCUGGUUUAGGCCAUGGUGCAUGGGACUCUUGAUCUUGGGGUUGUAAGUUUGAACCCCACAUUGGAUAUAGAGAUUACUUAAAAACAAAAUCUUAUAAAAGUUAUUUUUAAAAAUACAGUCACGAUGUUGUGUAAUCCCCAGCACUAUCUAUACUCAAAAUUUUUUUGUUAUUCCCAACACUCUUUACCUGGUAAACAAUAACUGUCCUUUUCCCCCUCCCACUGGUUCCUGGUAACCUCUAUUUUACUUCCUGUCUCUGUUAAUUGGUCACUUCUAGGUACUUCAUACAAGUAGAAUGAUACACUAUUUGUUGUUCUGUAUCUGGAUUAUUUCACUAAACAUAAUGUCUUUAAGGUAACAUGUAUCAUCCUUAUAGUUUAUAUCAAAAAUUUCAUUCUUUUAAUGGCCAAAUAACAUUCCAUUAUAAGUGUAUACAACAUUUUGUUUAUUCAUCACGUGGAUACUGGUUUAUUUCCACCUUUUGGUUAUUGUGAAUAAUGCUUAUGUGAACACUGGUGUGCAAAUAUCUCAUUGAGAACUUGCUUUCAGUUCUUUUGGAUAUAAACGUAAGAGUAGAAUUGUUGGAUCUUGUGGUAGUUCUCUUUAACUUUUUGAGAACAGCCAAACUUUUCCACAGUAUCUGUACCAUUUUAUAUUCCUGCUAGUAAUGCACAAGGGUUCCAGUGUCUCCACAUUCUUGCUCACACUUUUUUACUGUUAUUUUCCAUCCUUUUUUAUUAUAGCCAUCUUACUAGGUGUGAAAUAUCUAAUUGUGGUUUUGAUUUUCAUUUCCCUAAUGAAAAGUGAUGUUGAGUAUCUUUUCAUGUGUUUAUUGACCAUUUUUAGAUUUUAUUUGGAAAACUGUCUUUUCAAGUCCUUGUUUUAUAUUACUUCUUAGUAGAUAUAUUCAUAUUUUUUAAAUUGUCUGUGAUAGCAUUAGUUAUCCUAUAUAUUAAUCUUAACUCUAGUAAACAGUGCCAAUCAUGAGCUGAAUUAUAACAACAGCAGUAAUGACAAAGUAAAACUUACUGGGUGCUUAUUAUGAGCCAGGCACAGUUCUGGGUGCUUUAUGCCUGUGAAUUUAUUUAAUCUUCAUGAAUUCCCUAUGAAUUAAAUACUUUUAUUACCCUCAUUUUGUUGAUGAGGAAUCAGAGGCAUGGAGUUGUAAAGGAACUUGCUCAUGGUGUAUAGCAAAUAAGUGGCUGAUGGAGGAUUUGAAUCCAAGCAGUUCCCUCUUUUUUUUUUUUUUAAAGAUUUAUUUAUUUAUUUGAGAGAGAGACAGUGAGAGAGCAUGAGUGAGGAGAAGGUCAGAGAGAGAAGCAGACUCCCUGUGGAGCUGGGAGCCCGAUGUGGGACUCAAUCCCAGGAUUCCAGGAUCAUGACCUGAGCCGAAGGCAGUUGUCCAACCAACUGAGCCACCAAGGCGUCCCCAAGCAGUUCCCUCUUGAGUUAUGUUCUUAACUACUAUAUAAUUUGGCUUCUUACCUAUAAAAAAUUCAAACUGUUAUUAUAAAAGGCAUAAAGUGUGAUGUUUGUUCAUUUGAACCUUGAACUCGUAGUUUACGUAUAUGUUUUAUAUAUCACCAUAACUGUAAACUAAUGACAUUUGAUCUGCUGGAUAUGCUUUGGAUGUUAUGAUGUUACUGAGUAUCUUUGUAGCAUUGUCCAAGUUUUAUUAACUGUAUACAACUUGAGAAAACUAUGUGGGUGAAUAGUGUGAUAUUUCUUUCUUUUCUUUUCUUUUUUUUUUUUUUUUUUUUUGAGAAAGAGAGCCCAUGGUGGGGAGGGAGCAGGAGCAGAGGGAAGAGAGAGAAUCCUUAGCAAGCUCUGUGCUUAGCGUGGAGCCCAAUGGGGGCAUUGAUUUCACGACUCUGAGAUCAUGACCUGAGCUGAAAUCAGGAGUUGAAUGCUUAACUAGCUGAACCAUCCAGGCACCCUAUGAUAUUUCUAUAUUUAAAAAGGUUAAGUCUCCUAGCUAUCUGAAAUUUAUGUAUUUUUAGCAGUAAUAAUAAAUAGGAAAUGUGUUUUUUUUUUUUUAAUGAAAGCAUGCCUUUCUAGUCCUGUUGUUUUUUUGACCAAGCCACUGAGAAUACUGAAAUUUUUAAAAAAGAUUUUAUUUUUAUUUAUUUAUUUGAUAGAAGGAGACACACGGAGAGAGGGAACACAAGCAGGGAGAGUGGGAGAGUGGGAAGCAGGCUUCCUGCUCAACAGGGAGCCCAGUGCAGGGCUUGAUCCCACAUAACCUGAGCCACCCAGGUGCCCCCGAGAAUACCGAAAUCUAAGAGACCACACCAUCUUUAGAACCUUGAGUUAUUCAUCUGGGAUGCAGCUUUAUUUAUUCCAGGAUUUACAUUUCAGAUGGCUCUCCACUUCAAUAUUAAUAAUUCUAAAAAGAGGAUCCACUUUCAUAGAGCCAGGUAAGGCCAAACAUUGAUCAGAGUUUGGCCAGAUAGCAGAUAUUUUAGGAUAUUUAUAGAAUUCACAUCUUCUUCUCUAAAAGCCCUGGAACAGUGGCCUCUUUAUUUAUUUAUUUACUAUUAUUUUUUAAAGUUUUUUUUUUUUUUUAAGAUUUUAUUUAUUUAUUUGACAGAGAUCACAAGUAGACAGAGAGGCAGGCAGAGAGAGAGAUGGGGCGGGGGAAGCUGCUGAGCAGAGAGCUCGAUGUGGGACUUGAUCCCAGGACCCUGAGAUCAUGAUCUGAGAUGAAGGCAGAGGUUCAACCCACUGAGCUACCCUGGCACCCAACAGUGGCCUCUUGAUGGGUCUUUCCUGCUUUCCUCUUAGUUCCUCUUGAACCUGGCUAUCCUUGUGGUACAUAUGCUUUAUAAUUUAAACCUAUCCUGAAGUUUGUAUUUCAAGGAUUCAGAAAAUUAAAGGAUGAUUUAUACCAUAGUUAAGGUGUGUGAAUUGGUUCUGAAAUUUAACUUCUUUCCUACUAAUAGAUUAUAAUUUUUCAAAAUCUGUGAUUUUUUUGAGCUACAGACAAUGUAGCUGGGGAAAUGAGGUAUAGUCUUGAGUUCUGAUCAGUUCAUACAUCUUUCUUUUAUUUUAAAGAUUUAUUUAUUUAUUUGGGAGAGAGAGAACAUGAAUGGGGGCGGGGAAGAGUAGAGGGUGAAGGAAAAGCCGAUCAGGGAGCCCUGUCACAGGGCUCCAUCCCAGGACCCUGGGAUCAUGACCUGGGCUGAAGGCAGAUGCUUAACCUACUGAGCCAUCCAGGUGCCCUGAGUUCAUAUACUUCUUU